GACGAACGCUGGCGGCGUGCCUAAUACAUGCAAGUUGAGCGAUGAAGAUUGGUGCUUGCACCAAUUUGAAGAGCAGCGAACGGGUGAGUAACGCGUGGGGAAUCUGCCUUUGAGCGGGGGACAACAUUUGGAAACGAAUGCUAAUACCGCAUAACAACUUUAAACAUAAGUUUUAAGUUUGAAAGAUGCAAUUGCAUCACUCAAAGAUGAUCCCGCGUUGUAUUAGCUAGUUGGUGAGGUAAAGGCUCACCAAGGCGAUGAUACAUAGCCGACCUGAGAGGGUGAUCGGCCACAUUGGGACUGAGACACGGCCCAAACCCCUACGGGAGGCAGCAGUAGGGAAUCUUCGGCAAUGGACGAAAGUCUGACCGAGCAACGCCGCGUGAGUGAAGAAGGUUUUCGGAUCGUAAAACUCUGUUGGUAGAGAAGAACGUUGGUGAGAGUGGAAAGCUCAUCAAGUGACGGUAACUACCCAGAAAGGGACGGCUAACUACGUG
rnacentral:rRNA from 1 species